GGGUACAACCAUACCAACAUGACAGCACCGCUUCCCGUCUGCUCAGCAAAGUUAAGCAUGUUUGGGCCUGGUUAGUACUACGGUGGGGACCGACCAUGUUCCCAGGUGUUGUUCUCA
rnacentral:rRNA from 1 species